CCUGCAGGGGCUUACCCAGCAUGUGGUCCACCUAGUUGCCACUGGACACCUUGGGACUCAUCCCUGGCUCCAGGUUGGCCUGCUUGUGCUGAACCACAACUCUCAAGUCAUUCCCCAGCUUCCAUGACCAUUCAGAAAAGAGACAAGGACUAGGUCCAUCAGAGGGAAGUUCAGGACCUCAGCCCAUGCUGGAGAGAGGAUAGUAUAUGGUAUGAGUCUGAGCUACCCUUCAAGGAAUGUCCCCGCUGGUUCAGGUUUUGGACACUUGUUCUCACUGCAGCUGGUGGUGCUUUUGUGGAAACUAUGGAUGCUGUAGAAAGUGGAGCCCAACUGGAGGUUAGCUCACAGGGAAGAACCAUUCCCACCCUUGGCCUGUCUGGCUCUCUGCCUCUUGGUCCACCAUGAUGUGAGCAACCGCUACCAUACAUCUGCUCCCAUGACUGAGCUGCACAGCCUGCCUUCGCAACCAGAGUGGAGUUCAACCAUGAGUCAAAAUUAAAUCCUUUCUCCUUAAA